rnacentral:miRNA from 1 species
UUUUUAGUAUAAGUAUGUCCCAUGCAAAAUUUAGGACACACUUUUAUUUUAAAA